AACACACACACGCGCACACACACACAAACACACAUACACAGAGCCCGAUCCAAAUCGUGUUCCUGUCCAAGCCCAGUCCCGUGUCUCUGACCUGGGCCUCGAUGGUUUCCACAUGUGGGGAGGAGACAGCUCCAUGGAGCCCGACAUCGUUCAGGGAUUCAACUAAUGAUGUGUGGAGUGCAGUGGUCUGAAGAGCAGCCGUGACAACCGUGCAGUGGUCUGAAUAGGAGCCAUGACAACCGUGCGGUGGUCUGAAUUGGAGCCAUGACAACCGUGCGGUGGUAGAAAUAGGUGCUGUGACCACCGUGCGGUGGACUGAAGAGCCGUGACAACCAGCAGUGGUCUGAAUAGGAGCCAUGACAACCAUGCGGUGGUCUGAAUAGCAGCCGUGACAACUGUAUGGUGGUCUGAAGGGGAGCCAUGAACAGAGAAACACACUUUCUGUGACUGACUGUAUGCUUUCUCAUCGACGCUUGUGAAGACAAUUAUUUACAGGUUAGUGAACAGCUACUCUACAGGUUUUACAAGUUAGUGAACAGCUACUCCACAGGUUUAACAAGUUAGUGAACAGCUACCCUACAGGUUUUACAAGUUAGUGAACAGCUACUCUACAGGUUUUGACAUGAACAAGUCUAAAUGUUGAUUCCAUUGAUUCUAACUGAGAUAUGUGGAGUGCAGUGGUCUGAAGAGGAGCCGUGACAACCGUACGGUGGUCUGAAUUGGAGCCAUGGCAACCGUGCGGUGGUCUGAAUAGGAGCCAUGACAACCGUGCGGUGGUCUGAAUAGGAGCCAUGACAACCGUGCGGUGGUCUGAAUUGGAGCCAUGGCAACCGUGCGGUGGUCUGAAUAGGAGCCAUGACAACCGUGCGGUGGUCUGACGAGGAGCCAUGACAACCAUGCGGUGGUCUGAAUAGGAGCCAUGACAACCGUGCGGUGGUCUGAAUAGGAGCCAUGACAACCGUGCGGUGGUCUGAAUAGGUGCUGUGACCACCAUGCGGUGGUCUGAAUAGGAGCCAUGACAACCGUGCGGUGGUCUGAAUAGGAGCCAUGACAACCGUGCUGCUACACUUUCUAUGACUGACUGUAUGCUUUCUCAUGGAAGCUUGUGAAGACAAUUAUUUACAGGUUAGUGAACAGCUACUCCACAGGUUUAACAAGUUAGUGAACAGCUACUCUACAGGUUUUACAAGUUAGUGAGCAGCUACUCUACAGGUUUUACAAGUUAGUGAACAGCUACUCUACAGGUUUAAUAAGUUAGUGAACAGCUACUCUACAGGUUUUGACAUGAACAAGUCUAAAUGUUGAUUCCAUUGAUUCUAACUGAGAUGUGUGGAGUGCAGUGGUCUGAAGAGGAGCCGUGACAACCGUGCGGUGUUCUGAAUAGGAGCCAUGACAACCGUGCGGUGGUCUGAAUAGGAGCCGUGACAACCGUGCGGUGGUCUGAAUAGGAGCCAUGACAACCGUGCGGUGUUCUGAAUAGGAGCCAUGACAACCGUGCGGUGUUCUGAAUAGGAGCCAUGACAACCGUGCGGUGGUCUGAAUAAGAGCAAUGACAACCGUGCGGUGGUCUGAAUAGGUGGUGUGAUCACCGUGCGGUGGUCUGAAUAGGAGCCAUGACAACCGUGCGGUGGUCUGAAUAGCAGCCAUGACAACUGUGCGGUGGUCUGAAGGGGAGCCGUGACAACUGUGCGGUGGUCUGAAGGGGAGCCAUGACAACUGUACGGUGGUCUGAAGGGGAGCCAUGACAACUGUACGGUGGUCUGAAGGGGAGCCAUGAACAGAGAAACACACUUUCUGUGACUGACUGUAUGCUUUCUCAUCGACGCUUGUGAAGACAAUUAUUUACAGCUGAGAUGUGUGGAGUGCAGUGGUCUGACGAGGAGCCGUGACAACCGUGCGGGGGUCUGAAUAGGAGCCGUGACAACCGUGCGGUGGUCUGAAGAGGAGCCGUGACAACCGUGCGGUCUUCUGAAUAGGAGCCAUGACAACCGUGCGGUGGUCUGAAUAGGAGCCGUGACAACCGUGCGGUGUUCUGAAUAGGAGCCGUGACAACCGUGCGGUGGUCUGAAUAGGAGCCGUGACAACCGUGCGGUGGUCUGAAUAGGAGCCGUGACAACCGUGCGGUGGUCUGAAUAGGAGCCGUGACAACCGUGCGGUGGUCUGAAUAGGAACCGUGACAACCGUGCGGUGGUCUGAAUAGGAGCCGUGACAACCGUGCGGUGGUCUGAAGCGGAGCCGUGACAACCGUGCGGUGUUCUGAAUAGGAGCCAUGACAACCGUGCGGUGGUCUGACUAGGAGCCGUGACAACCGUGAAUAUUCUCUCUUUUUCUUUCCUUUUUCUCUCAUUCUCUCUCUGUUUCAUACAAAACACACACACACACAAUCCCCCCCAUGACACAGACACAAACACGACACACACACAGUGGGCCCUCCCCACACAAGCCUCCUCUGUGGGCCAGCAUUUAACUGCAGACACAUAACACGCUCUGGAGCCUCUCCAGGUUCCGACCGAGAACGGACCAAUUAACAAGCAGGCCACAGCAGAGCCAAGUGGCCAGCAGUAAUCAGAGACAAGGAGGAGGGAGGGGACAAGAAAGACUGUCAUUUGUGUGUGUGUAUGUGUGUGUCAUUCACCACAUUCCCAGGAUGAAAUUUAAUCCCUCAGAGCCAGAGAGAAGUCGUUUUAAAGCGUUUUAAUAACCCCCAGAACCAGAACCUUGGGCUUGAAGAGAAUUUUAAUGAAUGCCAUGUUAUUUUCAGCUGUCUAAUGUCAAACAGACAAUCUUGUUUAUGAUGUAUUGUAUAUGGUAUUUUAUUACUGUUGUGGUCUUUUUCAGCUGUCUAAAGUCAAAAAGACAACAUUGUUUAUGAUGUAUUGUAUAUGGUAUUUUAUUACUGUUGUGGUCUUUUUCAGCUGUCUAAUGUCAAACAGACAAUCUUGUUUAUGAUGUAUUGUAUAUGGUAUUUUAUUACUGUUGUGGUCUUUUUCAGCUGUCUAAAGUCAAAAAGACAACAUUGUUUAUGAUGUAUUGUAUAUGGUAUUUUAUUACUGUUGUGGUCUUUUUCAGCUGUCUAAAGUCAAACAGACAACCUUGUUUAUGAUGUAUUGUAUAUGGUAUUUUAUUACUGUUGUGGUCUUUUUCAGCUGUCUAAAGUCAAAAAGACAACAUUGUUUAUGAUGUAUUGUAUAUGGUAUU